rnacentral:rRNA from 1 species
UACGGAGGGGGCAAGCGUUGUUCGGAAUUACUGGGCGUAAAGGGCGCGUAGGCGGCCUUCUAAGUCGAACGUGAAAUCCCUGGGCUCAACCCAGGAACUGCGUCCGAUACUGGAAGGCUUGAAUCCGGGAGAGGGAUGCGGAAUUCCAGGUGUAGCGGUGAAAUGCGUAGAUAUCUGGAGGAACACCGGUGGCGAAGGCGGCAUCCUGGACCGGUAUUGACGCUGAGGCGCGAAAGCUAGGGGAGCAAACGGG